rnacentral:rRNA from 1 species
UACGGAGGGUGCGAGCGUUGUCCGGAAUCAUUGGGCGUAAAGGGCGCGUAGGCGGCUUCUCAAGCGUGCGGUGAAAGUCGGGGGCUCAACCCCUGAUCGGCCGUGCGAACUGGGGGGCUGGAGCACUGUAGAGGCAGGCGGAAUUCCGGGUGUAGCGGUGGAAUGCGUAGAGAUCCGGAAGAACACCGGUGGCGAAGGCGGCCCGCUGGGCAGUGGCUGACGCUGAGGCGCGACAGCGUGGGGAGCAAACAGG